AGUGGACGCUGGCGGCAGGCCUAACACAUGCAAGUCGAACGGCAGCACAGUAAGAGCUUGCUCUUACGGGUGGCGAGUGGCGGACGGGUGAGGAAUACAUCGGAAUCUUCUUUUUCGUGGGUGAUAACGUAGGGAAACUUACGCUAAUACCGCAUACGACCUACGGGUGAAAGCAGGGGAUCUUCGGACCUUGCGCGAUUGAAUGAGCCGAUGUCGGAUUAGCUAGUUGGCGGGGUAAAGGCCCACCAAGGCGACGAUGCGUAGCUGGCCUGAGAGGAUGAUCAGCCACACUGGAACUGAGACACGGUCCAGACUCCUACGGGAGGCAGCAGUGGGGAAUAUUGGGCAAUGGGCGCAAGCCUGAUCCAGCCAUACCGCGUGGGUGAAGAAGGCCUUCGGGUUGUAAAGCCCUUUUGUUGGGAAAGAAAAACAGCAGGUUAAUCCCCCGCUGUUCUGACGGUACCCAAAGAAUAAGCACCGGCUAACUUCGUG
rnacentral:rRNA from 1 species